rnacentral:rRNA from 1 species
UACGGGGGGGCAAGGCGUUGUUCGGAAUUACUGGGCGUAAAGGGCGCGUAGGCGGCUUUUCAAGUCGGGCGUGAAAUCUCCGGGCGUUAACCCGGAAGGGUCGUUCGAUACUGUUGAGCUAGAGUGUGGAAGAGGCAACUAGAAUUCCGUGUGUAGCGGUAGAAAUGCGUAGAUAUACGGAGGAAUACCUGAGGCGAAGGCGGGUUGCUGGGCCAACACUGACGCUGAGGCGCGGAAAGCCAGGGGAGGCAAACGGG